CCCCGUGUGUGUGCCUGUGGGGUGCAUGUGUGCAAGAGGUUUUUUUACUCUUUCCUGUGGGCGCCAGCCACUUUGCCAUUUCCUGAGUCUGUCGGAAAAACCACCACCACCCCAGCCCCCAGCCCCGCUCCGUGCUGGGGCCUCUUGGCUGCUCCACCUGCCUCACAGGUCACCAGGUCCGCUGGGCAGCCGUGUGUGCAUGGAACAGACAUUGCCACCGCCCCCAGCCUGCCCCGGCCCGCCAGUGUCCACCCCCGUGGACACCGAACCCUGUGGCUCAGCCGGGCCUCCAGAAUGAUCCCCAGAGCAAUGGGGGUCGGUCACAGACCUGCCUAACCCCCUUCCCGUUUGCCUCAGGCCACAGCGUGACCUGUGUGUGCCUGUCCCAGACCCUCGAGCCACCCGUCCUUGCUCUGCCCGGGGCGGCUGGCCGUGGGCAGGAAGAGGAUGGAAUAAAACCUGUCUGCCCCGAUCCCGAGCUCAUGUCUGUGAUGCCAGGCCCCAGACCUUCUUCCCCGGGGCUCACCCCCAGAUCUCACAUCUCGGUCCCAGGGCAGGUUGCUGGGGCCCAGUUCCUCUGCCCCAUCCUGAUAGUGGGGCUCAGAGGCCCCGAAAAGGAAGAGCUGGAAAGCGGGGUAGCCUCUUAGGAGUGGCUGGGACUGUGGCAGGAAGGGCACACGCAUAGGGUCAGGGAUGGGCACGGCCACCAGCGAGGGAAGAGCACAUGAGGUUUCUUGUGGGCCAGGUGGGGAUGUUUCUCAUCCGGUUGGAAGGCAACCCCCUGUCCCAUUCAAAGGGCUCACCCCUCGAGUUCAUCUCUUGGAGGUGGGGAGGGGGCCCCAUGGGAUGGGGGCUGGAAAGUGCUGUGCACUGGGUGGUCAGGAGGGGAGGCUCACUGAUGGCGACACAGGGCCCGCCAGCCAUGGGGAUCUGCGCGAGGAGCCGUCUGCGUAUCUCCUAGGAGACCCAGCCAGGAGCCCCGCUUCAGCUCGGGGCACAGAUGUGCCGUGGGGCGGCCGGCCAGGAGGAGCUCUGGCUUGUCAUCUGUGGACAAGAUGGGAAUGUACUGACUUCAGGAGCUCCGCGCCCCGCCCCCCCGCCCCGGCACUUGGAAGGUGCUCCAGGAACAGGGGCAGACACGGGACGUGGGGCUGGAACCUUCUACGGUGCAGGCAUUCUAGAUGUGGAGAAGCCCGUACCUCUGUAGCCCCAAGCCGUGGAAGAGACCUGGGCCCGGGAAGGGGCCCCGGGGCUUCGAGCUCCUGGGAGACCCGCUCAGAGGGGUCUGUGAUUAGUCCGACCCCCACGAGGAGGCCGCCUGUCCUGUCCCCGCCGAGCCCCAGCCACAGGUCAGCGAGCCUGUGGAACGUUCACUAUUCGUGGUUGGUCCGCCCACGGCAUCACCAGGGAACCUUCCCCAUGGGCUGGGCUGUGAGAACCCACCUUAUGUUUCUGUCUUCGUUGUAG
rnacentral:lncRNA from 12 species